rnacentral:rRNA from 1 species
UACGUAGGGGGCUAGCGUUGUCCGGAAUCAUUGGGCGUAAAGCGCGCGUAGGCGGCCAGAUAAGUCCGGUGUGAAAGUCACAGGCUCAACCUGUGAAUGCCGCUGGAAACUGUCUGGCUAGAGUCCGGAAGGGGCGAGUGGAAUUCCUGGUGUAGCGGUGAAAUGCGCAGAUAUCAGGAAGAACACCGAUGGCGAAAGCAGCUCUCUGGGACGGUACUGACGCUGAGGCGCGAAAGCGUGGGGAGCGAACAGG